GGGACACGUGGUAUCCUGUCUGAAUAUGGGGGGACCAUCCUCCAAGGCUAAAUACUCCUGACUGACCGAUAGUGAACCAGUACCGUGAGGGAAAGGCGAAAAGAACCCCGGCGAGGGGAGUGAAAAAGAACCUGAAACCGUGUACGUACAAGCAGUGGGAGCCUCUUUUAUGGGGUGACUGCGUACCUUUUGUAUAAUGGGUCAGCGACUUAUAUUCUGUAGCAAGGUUAACCGAAUAGGGGAGCCGAAGGGAAACCGAGUCUUAACUGGGCGUUAAGUUGCAGGGUAUAGACCCGAAACCCGGUGAUCUAGCCAUGGGCAGGUUGAAGGUUGGGUAACACUAACUGGAGGACCGAACCGACUAAUGUUGAAAAAUUAGCGGAUGACUUGUGGCUGGGGGUGAAAGGCCAAUCAAACCGGGAGAUAGCUGGUUCUCCCCGAAAGCUAUUUAGGUAGCGCCUCGUGAAUUCAUCUCCGGGGGUAGAGCACUGUUUCGGCAAGGGGGUCAUCCCGACUUACCAACCCGAUGCAAACUGCGAAUACCGGAGAAUGUUAUCACGGGAGACACACGGCGGGUGCUAACGUCCGUCGUGAAGAGGGAAACAACCCAGACCGCCAGCUAAGGUCCCAAAGUCAUGGUUAAGUGGGAAACGAUGUGGGAAGGCCCAGACAGCCAGGAUGUUGGCUUAGAAGCAGCCAUCAUUUAAAGAAAGCGUAAUAGCUCACUGGUCGAGUCGGCCUGCGCGGAAGAUGUAACGGGGCUAAACCAUGCACCGAAGCUGCGGCAGCGACACUAUGUGUUGUUGGGUAGGGGAGCGUUCUGUAAGCCUGUGAAGGUGUGCUGUGAGGCAUGCUGGAGGUAUCAGAAGUGCGAAUGCUGACAUAAGUAACGAUAAAGCGGGUGAAAAGCCCGCUCGCCGGAAGACCAAGGGUUCCUGUCCAACGUUAAUCGGGGCAGGGUGAGUCGACCCCUAAGGCGAGGCCGAAAGGCGUAGUCGAUGGGAAACAGGUUAAUAUUCCUGUACUUGGUGUUACUGCGAAGGGGGGACGGAGAAGGCUAUGUUGGCCGGGCGACGGUUGUCCCGGUUUAAGCGUGUAGGCUGGUUUUCCAGGCAAAUCCGGAAAAUCAAGGCUGAGGCGUGAUGACGAGGCACUACGGUGCUGAAGCAACAAAUGCCCUGCUUCCAGGAAAAG
rnacentral:rRNA from 1 species